rnacentral:rRNA from 1 species
UACGGGGGGGGCAAGCGUUGUUCGGAAUUACUGGGCGUAAAGCGCACGUAGGCGGCUUUGUAAGUAAGAGGUGAAAGCCCGGAGCUCAACUCCGGAACUGCCUUUUAGACUGCAUCGCUUGAAUCCAGGAGAGGUGAGUGGAAUUCCGAGUGUAGAGGUGAAAUGACGCAGAUAUCAGGAAGAACACCCGUGGCGAAGGCGGCUCUCUGGGACGGUACUGACGCUGAGACGCGAAAGCGUGGGGAGCGAACAGG